rnacentral:rRNA from 1 species
CCUACGGGUGGCAGCAGUGAGGAAUAUUGGUCAAUGGGCGCGAGCCUGAACCAGCCAAGUCGCGUGAGGGAAGACGGUCCUAUGGAUUGUAAACCUCUUUUGUCGGGGAGCAAAAGACGCCACGCGUGGCGUUCCGAGAGUACCCGAAGAAAAAGCAUCGGCUAACUCCGUGCCAGCAGCCGCGGUAAUACGGAGGAUGCGAGGGUUAUCCGGAUUUAUUGGGUUAAAAGGGUGCGCAGGCGGAAGAUCAAGUCAGCGGGAAAAUUGUGAGGUUAAACCUCGUAGUGCCGUUGAAACUGGUUUUCUUGAGUGAGCGAGAAGUAUGCGGAAUGCGUGGUGUAGCGGUGAAAUGCAUAGAUAUCACGCAGAACUCCGAUUGCGAAGGCAGCAUACCGGCGCUCAACUGACGCUCAUGCACGAAAGUGUGGGUAUCGAACAGGAUUAGAUACCCUUGUAGUC